AGAAAGACUCUGUUCCACCCACAUUUGACAGUAUCUUCAGCAGCGCCAGCCUACUAAAAGAACCCCCGAGUUAACAAGACUUGUUCAACAAGACUUGUUCAAAGAGGAUGAAUACAUUCUGGCUUGCCUUUUUGUAGGGAGAUAUUCCCUCCUCUACCAUUCCUCUUAGUCUUUAAAGUAGGAGUUUCUUAUGUCAGGCGUCCAACUUUCUCACAAGGCCUCUACAACAAACAACACAUUUCAUCUUUUGGGUUUAUUUUUUCUUCCCUGUCCUUUUUUACUUUGCUUGCUGUGAUUGGCUAAACGCCUUUUUUUUUGCUUGCUGCAUUGCUAAAACUAAAAUCCCUCUUUUUUGCUCAAACCUUUGCCAAUCUGUUCUAUUUUCAUGUCUAAUUUCCACUCUAAACUUACAGCCCAGCAGUCAGACGUUUUGACUGAGUGGCUUCUGCUUGUAAAC
rnacentral:lncRNA from 1 species